rnacentral:lncRNA from 1 species
UCUAAAAUCAUGAAGUUACGCUGUACAUUUGGUUGGAGAGCCAUUAGAAUGGUUUCGAUGAAGUUCGGUGAGGUUCGGGAGCAUUCGGGCGUUUCGGUGUGCGUAGGCGCGAAAACGGAACCCGAAAGGCUAUAUUGGACUGUGAGCUAAAUCCGGCAUUUGCGUGGAUAAAAAGAUGAUGAAAACAUGCUUGAAAAUAUGUUUGGAGAGUCUCGGUUCGAUUUGAAAAGAAUCGGAGGUCAGACGAGCAAAAACAGACGAAAACGGGCGAAAAUGCUGAAAAUUUGGCUGUCCUUGAAGGCUGGUUUCUGGACCU